AGAAUUUGAUCUUGGUUCAGAUUGAACGCUGACGGCGUGGAUGAGGCAUGCAAGUCGAACGGUGUUAUACGAGCUUGCUCGUAUAACGGAGUGGCGAAAGGGUUAGUAAUACAUGGGUAAUCUACCUUUAACUUAGGAAUAACGGUUGGAAACGACCGCUAAUACCGGAUGUGGUGAGGCUAUACUUUAGCCAUCAUUAAAGUGGGGGAUCGCAAGACCUUGCGGUUAAAGAGGGGCCCAUGGGAUAUCAGCUUGUUGGUGUGGUAAAGGCGCACCAAGGCUAAGACGUCUAGGCGAGUCGAGAGGUUGACCGCCAACACUGGGACUGAGACACUGCCCAGACUCCUACGGGAGGCUGCAGUCGAGAAUCAUUCGCAAUGGGCGCAAGCCUGACGAUGCGACGCCGUGUGAACGAAGAAGGCCUUUGGGUUGUAAAGUUCUUUCGCUUAGGAAUAAGAGAAGGUGGCUAAUAUCCAUCUAAUUUGAAGGUACUAGGUAAAGAAGCACCGGCUAACUCCGUGCCAGCAGCUGCGGUAAUACGGAGGGUGCGAGCGUUAAUCGGAUUUAUUGGGCGUAAAGGGCGUGUAGGCGGGAAUGAAAGUCAGAUGUGAAAUCCCAGAGCUCAACUUUGGAACUGCACCUGAAACUUCAUUUCUUGAGGAUAGACGGAGAAAACGGAAUUCCACGUGUAGCGGUGAAAUGCGUAGAUAUGUGGAAGAACACCUGUGGCGAAAGCGGUUUUCUAGUUUAGACCUGACGCUGAGGCGCGAAAGCUAGGGGAGCGAACAGGAUUAGAUACCCUGGUAGUCCUAGCCGUAAACGAUGUAUACUUGGUGUAAUUGGAAUCAACCCCGAUUGUGCCGGAGCAAACGCGUUAAGUAUACCGCCUGGGGAGUACACUCGCAAGGGUGAAACUCAAAAGAAUUGACGGGGACCCGCACAAGCAGUGGAGCAUGUGGUUUAAUUCGAUGCAACGCGAAGAACCUUACCCAGACUUGACAUAUAGUAGACGUAUGCAGAGAUGUAUAUUUCCUUCGGGACUGCUAUACAGGUGCUGCAUGGCUGUCGUCAGCUCGUGCCGUGAGGUGUUGGGUUAAGUCCCGCAACGAGCGCAACCCUUAUCGUUAGUUGCCAACACGUAAUGGUGGGAACUCUAACGAGACUGCCUAGGUUAACUAGGAGGAAGGUGAGGAUGACGUCAAGUCAGCAUGGCCCUUAUGUCUGGGGCUACACACGUGCUACAAUGGCUACUACAGAAGGCCGCAAUACCGAGAGGUGGAGCAAAUCCCUAAAAGUGGCCCCAGUUCGGAUUGUAGUCUGCAACUCGACUACAUGAAGUUGGAAUUGCUAGUAAUGGCGUGUCAGCAAUAACGCCGUGAAUACGUUCCCGGGUCUUGUACACACCGCCCGUCACAUCAUGGAAGUUGGUUUUACCCGAAGUCACUGACUCGACCGCAAGGGGAGAGGUGCCUAAGGUAAGGCUGAUGACUGGGAUGAAGUCGUAACAAGGUA
rnacentral:rRNA from 1 species